AGAGUUUGAUCCUGGCUCAGAUUGAACGCUGGCGGAAUGCUUUACACAUGCAAGUCGAGCGGCAGCGCGGUCUUCGGACUGGCGGCGAGCGGCGAACGGGNNNNNNNNNNNNNNNNNNNNNNNNNNNNNNNNNNNNNNNNNNNNNNNNNNNNNNNNNNNUACCGCAUAUGCCCUGAGGGGGAAAGGGGGGGAUCGCAAGACCUCGCGCGAUUGGAGUGGCCGAUGUCAGAUUAGCUAGUUGGUGGGGUAAAGGCCUACCAAGGCAACGAUCUGUAGCUGGUCUGAGAGGAUGAUCAGCCACACUGGAACUGGAACACGGUCCAGACUCCUACGGGAGGCAGCAGUGGGGAAUUUUGGACAAUGGGCGCAAGCCUGAUCCAGCCAUACCGCGUGAGUGAAGAAGGCCUUCGGGUUGUAAAGCUCUUUCAGCCGGAAAGAAAUCGUGCAGAUUAACACCCUGUAUGGAUGACGGUACCGGAAGAAGAAGCACCGGCUAACUACGUGCCAGCAGCCGCGGUAAUACGUAGGGUGCGAGCGUUAAUCGGAAUUACUGGGCGUAAAGCGUGCGCAGGCGGCUUUAUAAGCCAGAUGUGAAAUCCCCGGGCUUAACCUGGGAACUGCAUUUGGAACUGUAAGGCUAGAGUGUAGCAGAGGGGGGUAGAAUUCCACGUGUAGCAGUGAAAUGCGUAGAUAUGUGGAGGAAUACCGAUGGCGAAGGCAGCCCCCUGGGCUAACACUGACGCUCAUGCACGAAAGCGUGGGGAGCAAACAGGAUUAGAUACCCUGGUAGUCCACGCCCUAAACGAUGUCAACUAGGUGUUGGGGAAGGAGACUUCUUUAGUACCGCAGCUAACGCGUGAAGUUGACCGCCUGGGGAGUACGGUCGCAAGAUUAAAACUCAAAGGAAUUGACGGGGACCCGCACAAGCGGUGGAUUAUGUGGAUUAAUUCGAUGCAACGCGAAAAACCUUACCUACCCUUGACAUCCCGGGAAGAUUCCAGAGAUGGGGGUGCCUGCUUGCAGGAGCCCAGACACAGGUGCUGCAUGGUUGUCGUCAGCUCGUGUCGUGAGAUGUUGGGUUAAGUCCCGCAACGAGCGCAACCCUUGUCCUUAGUUGCCAUCAUUCAGUUGGGCACUCUAAGGAGACUGCCGGUGUCAAACCGGAGGAAGGUGGGGAUGACGUCAAGUCCUCAUGGCCCUUAUGUCCAGGGCUACACACGUGCUACAAUGGCCGAUACAAAGGGCAGCUACCAGGUGACUGGAUGCUAAUCUCCAAAGUCGGUCUCAGUUCGGAUCGAAGUCUGCAACCCGACUUCGUGAAGCUGGAUUCGCUAGUAAUCGCAUAUCAGCCAUGAUGCGGUGAAUACGUUCCCGGGCCUUGUACACACCGCCCGUCAAACAAUGGAAGCUGGGGGUACCUGAAGUCUGUAACCGCAAGGAGCGGCCUAGGGUAAAACUAGUAACUGGUGUUAAGUCGUAACAAGGUAACC
rnacentral:rRNA from 1 species